GGGGCUGCGGCUCAACAGCAGAACAUCUGCUUGGCAUGCAGAAGGCCCCAGGUUCAAUCCCCAGCAUCUCCU
rnacentral:tRNA from 1 species